AAUGGGGGAUAACGUAGCGAAAGUUACGCUAAUACCGCAUAUGCCCUGAGGGGGAAAGGUGGGGAUCGCAAGACCUAUCGUUUUCGGAGUGGCCGAUAUCAGAUUAGCUAGUUGGUGGGGUAAAGGCCUACCAAGGCGACGAUCUGUAGCUGGUCUGAGAGGACGACCAGCCACACUGGGACUGAGACACGGCCCAGACUCCUACGGGAGGCAGCAGUGGGGAAUUUUGGACAAUGGGGGCAACCCUGAUCCAGCCAUGCCGCGUGAGUGAAGAAGGCCUUCGGGUUGUAAAGCUCUUUCAGACGGAAAGAAAUCCUAUCCGCUAAUACCGGGUGGGGAUGACGGUACCGUAAGAAGAAGCACCGGCUAACUACGUGCCAGCAGCCGCGGUAAUACGUAGGGUGCGAGCGUUAAUCGGAAUUACUGGGCGUAAAGCGUGCGCAGGCGGUUUUGUAAGACAGACGUGAAAUCCCCGGGCUUAACCUGGGAACUGCGUUUGUGACUGCAAGGCUAGAGUACGGCAGAGGGGGGUAGAAUUCCA
rnacentral:rRNA from 1 species